GUGGAAGCUAUACAGGAUUCUAGUAUGGAAAAUUCAUUUUACUAUUGCUAGCAACUCUGCACAAUAAAUCUUUUAAUCGUGGUGUGCAAAUUGCCCACAACCAGGAAACAAAUUGCUUCAGAACUCAUGAUAGUCUCACUAUGCUCUUUUGAUAUAGCCACAAGGUUUUGAAAUGCUACUGAUUAGCCUCGCUAAAACCUUUUAUACCUAGUAGUAUAUUCAUCUUCAAAAGAAAGAUUAAAAUCUUCCCCUGGUUGCUUGUUUGUUUUACUGAUUCAAGUGGAGCUUGGAAGAGUCCGUAAGCGGUUCAACAAAACCCAUGUAAUGGCAUGAUAGUUAUUUUGUGUGCAAGAGCUGAAUCACAAUCCAAUUCAGAGACUACUGACAUGUUAGAAGUUGGGUGACCCGUAUUUGACAAGAAUCCCUGUAUCUCAAAUGCAUGCAUCUUAUCUCAUGCCAUCAUGGUGCCCUGUAAUGGCCAUGGCAAGAAUUGCUAUCCUUAAUUAAUCAUAACUAUGAACAUACAAAGUGUAUUUUCCUUGAAAAAAUUUUCUAAUUGAAUUUGUGAAUGAAGAUAGGAAACCAAGGGGGAAAGGUACUGGUUCUAUGAAACAGUAUAAUUAGAUUUCAAAAUUCUAUUAAUUGAUUAGUCAGAAUUUUCAAUCUUGAUUUAAAUAGUCUUCAUCUUCUAAUUAUUUGGUAUUUUGGAUAUUUGAGAUGGGGAUGUUUGGACUCUCUGAGUUUACUGAUGUACGCCUUUGCAAUUCAAUUAGGCACGAGUCCUGCAUUGUUUGUUCGAAUUUGGUAGGUGUUUGUUAAAAUUGUAUAAUUAUAAUAUAAUAUAAAAUGUGAC
rnacentral:lncRNA from 1 species